CACACAGGGAGGAAUGAAUGCCAAGACGAAUCUCACGUCAGCAGGGUUUGGGGAAAGUCCUCAGACACCAACCUCGGGAUUCGGAGACACUUUUGGCUCUACUGG
rnacentral:RNase_MRP_RNA from 1 species